CCUAACACAUGCAAGUCGAACGGUAACAGGAAGAAGCUUGCUUCUUUGCUGACGAGUGGCGGACGGGUGAGUAAUGUCUGGGAAACUGCCUGAUGGAGGGGGAUAACUACUGGAAACGGUAGCUAAUACCGCAUAACGUCGCAAGACCAAAGAGGGGGACCUUCGGGCCUCUUGCCAUCGGAUGUGCCCAGAUGGGAUUAGCUAGUAGGUGGGGUAACGGCUCACCUAGGCGACGAUCCCUAGCUGGUCUGAGAGGAUGACCAGCCACACUGGAACUGAGACACGGUCCAGACUCCUACGGGAGGCAGCAGUGGGGAAUAUUGCACAAUGGGCGCAAGCCUGAUGCAGCCAUGCCGCGUGUAUGAAGAAGGCCUUCGGGUUGUAAAGUACUUUCAGCGGCGA
rnacentral:rRNA from 1 species